GGAACAUGACCACCAUGGGGCAAGCUCAAGGGCGAUGUAUCGCAUGGCCAUACAAGCAUGUGAGAUUUUUUUCUUAUUUUCUUCUGAUUAAACCUACCAAUGACUAUUAUGGUUGAUUGCUGAAAAAGCUUUGCUUCUAUGUAUGCAGUUGGAAGUGGACAAGUCCAUGGAAAAAGCAGGAAUGCGACCACAAGCAGGCUAAGGAGGUAAUAUACAUGUUUCUCUUGGUUGCUAUGUGUGUGAUGUUAAGUUGCUGCAUGGUAAUUGCUUGAUCUAUGUGACUGGAUCGAUGGAGACUUUUAUUAGAUGUUGUUCUUCAUGUCCUGUGUAUGCAUGUUCUUGCAUAUAACUAGUGGAAGCUUUUACAUGUUUGUUGAAAAGAGUAUUUAGUUUGGCAAAGUUCUUGAUUUGUUCUUAAAUCCCAGUCCAAUUCUGAAUCUGCUGUAGAAAAUUUACUAUUUCUGAAUUGAAUGUACACUAAAGUUCGUUAUCUGGUUUAAUUAGGAUUUAACAUCUUCCACUAUUGUCUCUCUAUACUUGUCCUGUUCGUUUAGUCCAAAUCUGUCAUUGAAUUUUUUUCUUGUUUCAAGUACACUAAAAUAUUUAUCCCAUUUUAUACUGCAGCCAGAUUCUGACCGUUUGUUUCCAGCGUGACUUGUCUGUGUAUACCUUCAUGCUUUGUUCGCUACUACUUGGUUGUACAUGAGCAAUAUUUUUGUUCCUGUAUACUGGACGAGGCAUAGGCGCGUAGUUUUGUUUGUCAAAAAAUUGCCACUUUGUACUAUGGUGUAUUCUUUUCUACAUGUGUCAUAUUAUUCCUAUGCAAAGAAUGACUACUGCCCAGGUCUUUGUAAAUGUUCCUCAAGUUUAACUGUAGCAUGUUAACUUCAAUGUUAAUUUAAAUUCUGAAAAGAGAGCUCCCUAUUGAGUAUCCUACCUGUUGCAGGUUUCCCAAAGGUGCACAAGUCGAUGAAGAUUUGGAAGAUUUUCAAGCUCCUGAAGAUUUGGAAGACCUACAAUAGUUGGUGGAGUGAUUAUGUAAUAUGCUUGUUUAGUUUGUGAAACCUAGACACACUUGCUCCGCUCAUUUUGCUGGUCGAUAAGCCAUCUGCUCAUUUUGGUUGUGUGGCACACC
rnacentral:lncRNA from 1 species